rnacentral:rRNA from 1 species
UACGAAGGGCGCUAGCGUUGUUCGGAAUCACUGGGCGUAAAGCGCACGUAGGCGGAUGUGUCAGUCAGGGGUGAAAUCCCGGAGCUCAACUUCGGAACUGCCCUUGAUACAGCACGUCUUGAGUCCGGAAGAGGUGGGUGGAAUUCCUGGUGUAGCGGUGAAAUGCGCAGAUAUCAGGAGGAACACCAGCGGCGAAGGCGGCGCUCUGGGCCGGUACUGACGCUGAGGAGCGAAAGCGUGGGUAGCAAACAGG